UAGAGAUUAGUUUAAUACAAAACAGCUACCUUCGAACUAGCAACUUUAGAUAUACCCUAAAUCUCUAU
rnacentral:tRNA from 1 species